AGUGUCCAUUUCGACCGCGCGGCCACCUCAUAAUUUUUGAUGAAACUUUGCCAGGAAUUAGUAGUAAUUUGUUACUUUUCACUCCUCUUUUCCUGAAUUUGUUACAAAAAAAACCAAGCCGCUAUGACAAAGAACAGUUGGCCGCUAGAACCGCCACUUGCCGUAGUCAUCGCCCGUGAUUACUCAGAAACUAUACAAUGCAGAUAGACAAAUGAUACAUCAAAAGAAAGGUCUUAAUUUGUUAAAUUUGUUACAAAAAUAAAAAAGGUCAAAACGUAGAUAUACAAAAAGUUAUGCAAUGUUAAGUUUUCAGGUUAUGAGUAGGUAAGUAUAUCACCGUAGGCACCAAAUUAAUAGAGGCUAAUGUGUAUAGAAAAUUAGUCUUUAAUUUGUUACAGCGAAAAAAGACAAAAAAGUACUAGAAAGCAGGUUCAAUAAUAUGUUAGAGUCGAUUUUAGUUGGCCGCGCGGAAGGCAAUAUGCCUAAAAUACAAUUUCGUUUUUCUCGUUAUUAAAAGUAGGUUUUAGCUUAAUUAAAGUACUAGUCGAUGGGUAACGUAACCUAGUUUGAAUAAAUAUAGCGAAUUUAACUUCAGCAUUCGUAUUUUAGGAGAUAUUUACAAAAACACAGUGGUAUGAAACUGUAUGAGAGUAGGGUGUCCAUGCAUUUUCACAUAUUCGAAAUUUUCGUUAUUCACGUCUUAUUUUUUUAGGGAGAGUGCAUACUUUAUAAAAAUCAAAGUCACAAAUAGAUUAAAAUUUCUUUAUUUACAAUCAACACAAAGGCAAACAAAUCAAGUAAUAAAAGACAACCAGAUAAAUAUAAAAUCUUCAUAAACCAACAUAAUAUUUAUAAAUUCUGUGUCACACAGAAUGUAGACAUAUUUUCUUAGAGGUACUUAUUUCAAUUUUAAAAGAAUUGUCGUCGUAACAAAAAUAUUUAUUGUUAUUUAAAAAAUGACAUUUAUAGUGGCCUAUUUUUGUGCCUGGUAUAAAUUCUAUAGUACCAACUAAGAAAUAAUAAUUAUCCUUAAUGCUAAGAGUAAUCGGCAAUUCAGUGAGUAAAACUGAGUCUGCAGCUCCGUUUAAAACAAAUGUUAUGAUCUCGCCUAGCUUAAGUUCACCUUUCAACUCUGUGUCACAUUUUUGACACAUUGUGUUAACACAAAGAAAUUUUAAUCUAUUUGUGACUUUGAUUUUUAUAAAGUAUGCACUCUCCCUAAAAAAAUAAGACGUGAAUAACGAAAAUUUCGAAUAUGUGAAAAUGCAUGGACACCCUACUCUCAUACAGUUUCAUACCACUGUGUUUUUGUAAAUAUCUCAUAAAAUACGAAUGCUGAAGUUAAAUUCGCUAUAUUUAUUCAAACUAGGUUACGUUACCCAUCGACUAGUACUUUAAUUAAGCUAAAACCUACUUUUAAUAACGAGAAAAACGAAAUUGUAUUUUAGGCAUAUUGCCGUCCGCGCGGCCAACUAAAAUCGACUCUAACAUAUUAUUGAACCUGCUUUCUAGUACUUUUUUGUCUUUUUUCGCUGUAACAAAUUAAAGACUAAUUUUCUAUACACAUUAGCCUCUAUUAAUUUGGUGCCUACGGUGAUAUACUUACCUACUCAUAACCUGAAAACUUAACAUUGCAUAACUUUUUGUAUAUCUACGUUUUGACCUUUUUAAUUUUUGUAACAAAUUUAACAAAUUAAGACCUUUCUUUUGAUGUAUCAUUCGUCUAUCUGCAUUGUAUAGUUUCUGAGUAAUCACGGGCGAUGACUACGGCAAGUGGCGGUUCUAGCGGCCAACUGUUCUUUGUCAUAGCGGCUUGGUUUUUUUUGUAACAAAUUCAGGAAAAGAGGAGUGAAAAGUAACAAA